CCUACGGGAGGCAGCAGUGAGGAAUAUUGGUCAAUGGACGAAAGUCUGAACCAGCCAAGUAGCGUGAAGGAUGACUGCCCUAUGGGUUGUAAACUUCUUUUAUAAAGGAAUAAAACGAGGCACGUGUGCCUUUUUGCAUGUACUUUAUGAAUAAGGAGCGGCUAACUCCGUGUCAGCAGCCGCGGUAAUACGGAGGAUCCGAGCGUGAUCCGGAUUUAUUGGGUUUAAAGGGCGCGUAGAUGGGUUGUUAAGUCAGUGGUGAAAGUUUGCGGCUCAACCGUAGAAUUGCAGUUGAUACUGGAAGUCUUGAGUACAGAUGAGGUAGGCGGAAUUCGUGGUGUAGCGGUGAAAUGCUUAGAUAUCACGAAGAACCCCGAUUGCGAAGGCAGCUUACUAAACUGUGACUGACAUUGAUGCUCGAAAGUGUGGGUAUCAAACAGGAUUAGAUACCCCAGUAGUC
rnacentral:rRNA from 1 species